GCUGUACUGGACCUGCCAGCACCGCAGGUGUGGCUGUGCCUGUGACAACAGGGCACAGAGAAAGUAGCUAUUUCUAUGCUCAGUGUUCAGAAUCCUGUGAGCCCUAAGAAUGGUUUAUAGCCUGACAUUU
rfam:Otolemur garnettii contig116510, whole genome shotgun sequence.